rnacentral:lncRNA from 1 species
UUGAACUAAAUAAAACUUCACUCACUUUCAAACAACAACCUUGUAGUUAUUUCUCUUCUGUUUUAUCUUUUUAUUCUUCGUUUUUUUCCAAAAGGAAUAUGUAUUGUCAUCCUUUUUUUUCAUCAAUUUUUUUCUUAUUUUUUUAUUGUUUUCUUCUUUCUAUUUUUUUCUUUCCAUUUCCUGCCAACUUUUGAAAUAUCACAACUAUAAUUAUUCAACCCAACACAACUCCAAACAAUACUUUUU